UUUGGCCCAGAUCGUUUACCGUGAAAAAAUUAGAGUGUUCAAAGCAGGCAGAUCCAAUUUUCUGCCACCGAAUACAUUAGCAUGGGAUAAUGGAAUAGGACCCUGUCCUCCUAUUUUCAGUUGGUUUUGGCAGCGCGAGGACUAGGGUAAUGAUUAAUAGGGAUAGUUGGGGGCAUUAAUAUUUAAUUGUCAGAGGUGAAAUUCUUGGAUUUAUGAAAGAUUAACUUCUGCGAAAGCAUCUGCCAAGGAUGUUUUCAUUAAUCAAGAACGAAAGUUAGGGGAUCGAAGACGAUCAGAUACCGUCGUAGUCUUAACCAUAAACGAUGCCGACCAGCGAUUAGGAGACGUUGAAUACAAAACACCACCAUCGGUUGCGGUCGUCCUUGGCGUCUCGGUUUCGGCCGGGGCGCGGGACGGUAGCCCGGCCCGA
rnacentral:rRNA from 1 species